rnacentral:rRNA from 1 species
CGCGCAGGCGGCCAGGCCAGUCGAAUGUGAAAGCCCCCGGCUCAACUGGGGAAGGUCGUUCGAUACUGCCUGGCUCGAAGAUAGGAGAGGGAAGUGGAAUUUCAGGUGUAGUGGUGAAAUGCGUAGAUAUCUGAAGGAACACCAGUGGCGAAGGCGACUUUCUGGCCUAUUCUUGACGCUGAGGCGCGAAAGCUAGGGGAGCGAACG